ACUACGUCGGGUUGAUUCAGUUACUUUAGAAUCUUAACAGAAAUUAUAACAACACAACACCACGUUUCAGUUACUUUAGAAACACACAAACUUAAACACUUUGCUUCAGUUACAUUAGAAACAAAAAUUCCAAUACAACUCUGCCACCACACUGCGUCGGGUUAAUUCAGUUUCGUUAGAAUCUCAAACAGAAUUGUAUAAAAUAGGCUUAAGAACUCCUCCUGCAAAAUUAAACAAACUAAAUUCCUUCCUCUCCUUACAAUUUUCUUUUCUAGAUUUUUUUAAACAAGGGGGUUCCCUAAAACAAAAAACAGCAUUAAAGAAGAAAAGUCAGUCUUUCUUACCUUUCCCCGCUUUUUUUUUUUUUUGGAAAUCCCUCGCUGCUUGGCUCGCCAGUGUAAGAAAAAAAAUGAGGAGGACGUAGAAAAUCUUGAUGAAAGUAGUUUAUUGUGGUAGCAGUUACAAAGCACGUCGUACUUUGGGUUCAGCAGAGUCAGAUUGAACCCUCAGCAAAGUCAGUCUUAACACUUUAUAGUUUCAAACCUGUUUUCCCACCCCUAAUGCUAAUGAAGUAUCCCUUUAAAUGUAAAUUAAGACUAAUACUACAAAUGACCUCUAUAUCUCCCACUGUGCCCAAAUCCGUCAUUGUAGUAUCCAACUGUGUGCUCAACCAAGUGGUCAGAUAAUGUUUAGAUAGAUGUCUUUUAUUAUCAUGAACCCUCUUUGAUCUGUGUUGGUUCAAGAAGUCUCACAUUUGCUCCCAUACUACUAUUAAGAAAGUAUGACUUCAGGUUAUAUUAUUGUAUUGCUUGAACUGAGAUUACCAUUUAUGAUUAUCAAGCCUUUUGGAGGGAUGAGCUUUAUUCAACAGCUAAAUUGAAGUGGAAUCUUUGUCAAGGCUGACUAUAAAUUCUUACAACGUGAUGCACACAUGAUCUCUCCACACCCAUGACACAUAUUUUGGAAAAGGGAACCACACACAUGAUACUCCGAACACUUAUUUUGAAUUCGCGCCCCUCGGAUGAGAAGUCACGAGCCGCCACUGUGCAUAAAAUAUUUAAAAACAAGAAAAUAAGAUAUGUUGGGGAAAAUAUGAGUAUUACCAGCAAUGUUGAGCAUUAUAAGCAUACGUUAUUUGGCAAACAUAAGGCAUUUGUAAUUAUAAAGCGUUUGCACGUGUGUGUGUUUUCUCCUUGCGAUGUAAAAUAGGCCUUCAACUGAAACAGAUAAUCACUGGAGUCCAUUCCCGACUCCCGAGCGACCACAUUCAACAUAACAAGUGCACAUUUUUUGUUUGGAAAGAAGCUCACAGAAACUAAAACCAGAUGUAUGCAGCGUUGCCAGGCGUGCAGCACUAGCGUAAACCAGCUAAGACGACUCUUCUAAGCUUUCAGUCUGGUAAAGCUGGUUUUUCGAUCUGAACAGCUAAAAGUGGACUCUAAAAACCUCUCUAAAACCAGCCUGCUACACCAGCUAAAACAAAACUGGGAGACCAGGUCAACUAGGUUAGGUCCACGUGCUCAUCUCCACUCAAACCUUUGCAGAGAAAUGAAACAGUGACUGCAUGUUUGAUCUACAGUCGCCACCUAGUGGUGAUAAAAAUGAAUAGCAUUAACAGAAAGUAUGAUUUCAACAUGUUUUUGGUGGUAUGGUACAGUGCUUUAUAUAGAUUAAUGUUAUAUGGUACAGUCGUCUUUAGCUUAAAGGUAAAUAUAACAGUGAAUGAAGAUAAUUUUUAAACUGUGUUUAGAUGUAGUUCAAUAAAGUUCAGAGUAUCAGUGAAGCAAGUUUGAGAGAUUUCUACAUAAAAUCUAUAAUGUUAAAAAUAUAAUCUUGAUAUCUUUAAUAAGGUAAAAUUUUUAAAUAAGGUCUAUCUCUAUUUACAGUUGUUUUAUGCCACAUUUAACCUCCUAAGACCUGGAUGUCACAUAUGUGGACAUCAAUGUUUUUGUUGUUUGCACCAUAAUACUUAAUUCUGUGUAACUGGAACUUGUUAUACACAAACAUGGACAAAUACACUGCUUCAUGUUCAAAGAAAAAUAUUUGAUUAUUAUAUUUAUUGGUUCCCAAAAAUAGCUGAUAGAAAUCUGAAAAAAAAGACAAAUCCUUAGGAGGUUAAUUUAGGCUUCAUGUUAUCUAACCAAAGAUAGGAGAUUGUUGCAUAAAAUUGGUUUGGGCAGAAAAAAUAAUUUUGGUAGUGGAAACCUUUUUUAAGAUCUUUCCUCUCAUCUCAUACAGUAUUUGUCCACCACCAAGACCCUUUAGUCUCUGUGGUGGUUCUUCAUCAGUCAACAUGUCAAAUGUUCUUUAAUGUGUUUGGGAAUUAAUAUUAAGUGUUUAGUGAAUUUAACCCUGCAGUAAACCCAGCAAUAUGUAACUCUGUUGAUGCUUCAACUGCUGUAAGGGAUGAGGGAUUAUUAGCUAACUUAAUGUCUGUUUUUGCCAGUGUUUAACUAUUUGAUAUGUGUGAAGGAUUUUUAACAAUGACAAAAAACUUUUGUAUGUAUCAUGCAUUAAAAUAUAUGACCUUUGAUGCUUUUUAAUGAUUUAAAUAAAAUCUCCAUACAAUCUGAGCAUGUCUGUGUUUUACUCUCGACUAAUACUCUUUUCUUUUAACAUUACUGGUAAUUAACAUAGCGCCAUCUAGUGGUUGUAAAUGAAUAACACAAUAGGUCUA